rnacentral:rRNA from 1 species
ACGAACGCUGGCGGCGUGCUUAACACAUGCCAGGCGAACGGAAAGGCCCUGCUUUUGUGGGGUGCUCGAGUGGCGAACGGGGGAGUAACACGUGAGUAACCUGCCCUUGACUUUGGGAUAACUUCAGGAAACUGGGGCUAAUACCGGAUAGGAGCUCCUGCUGCAUGGUGGGGGUUGGAAAGUUUCGGCGGUUGGGGAUGGACUCGCGGCUUAUCAGCUUGUUGGUGGGGUAGUGGCUUACCAAGGCUUUGACGGGUAGCCGGCCUGAGAGGGUGACCGGCCACAUGGGGACUGAGAGACGGCCCAGACUCCUACGGGAGGCAGCAGUGGGGAAUAUUGCACAAUGGGCGGAAGCCUGAUGCAGCAACGCCGCGUGCGGGAUGACGGCCUUCGGGUUGUAAACCGCUUUCGCCUGUGACGAGGCGUGAGUGACGGUAAUGGGUAAAGAAGCACCGGCUAACUACGUG